UGACACAUGUCACUCUGGGGAUUUACAUCCCGAGGGAGCCUCCGUGGAAGGUAAUCAAUUAACUCUUGAAUCCAAUGUCAUCUGUCUGAUAAUGUUUAUAACAAAUGUUAAAACUUUCAACAACGGAUCUCUUGGUUCUCGCAUCGAUGAAGAACGCAGCGAAAUGCGAUAAGUAGUGUGAAUUGCAGAAUUCAGUGAAUCAUCGAAUCUUUGAACGCACAUUGCGCCUCCUGGUAUUCCGGGAGGCAUGCCUGUUCGAGCGUCAUUAAAUACCACUCAAGCUCUUCUGCUUGGUCAUGGAAGAAGAGAAUGCUUGCAUCCUCUCUUCUGAAAUCGAACGGCGGACUGCCUCAUGUGCCUCGCGUAGUAAGUUCAUCUUUUCGCUUGGAGUGUGAGAUAGUCUCGCCAUCAACCCCCAUACUUCUAAGGUUGACCUCGGAUCAGGUAGGGAUACACGCUGAACUUAAGCAUAUCA
rnacentral:rRNA from 1 species